rnacentral:rRNA from 1 species
UACGUAGGGGGCAAGCGUUGUCCGGAAUCAUUGGGCGUAAAGAGCGUGUAGGCGGCUCGGUAAGUCCGCUCUGAAAGCCCGGGGCUCAACCCCGGGAGGCGGGCGGAUACUGUCGGGCUAGAGUCCGGAAGAGGCGAGUGGAAUUCCUGGUGUAGCGGUGAAAUUCGUAGAUAUUAGGAAGAACACCAGUGGCGAAGGCGGCUCACUGGCCCGGUACUGACGCUGAGGCGCGAAAGCGUGGGGAGCAAACAGG